rnacentral:rRNA from 1 species
UACGUAGGGUGCAAGCGUUAAUCGGAAUUACUGGGCGUAAAGCGUGCGCAGGCGGUUUUGUAAGCCAGAUGUGAAAGCCCCGGGCUCAACCUGGGAAUGGCAAUGGAAACUGGCGGGCUAGAGUGUGGCAGAGGGGGGUGGAAUUCCGCGUGUAGCAGUGAAAUGCGUAGAGAUGUGGAGGAAUACCGAUGGCGAAGGCAGCCUCCUGGGCCAACACUGACGCUCAUGCACGAAAGCGUGGGGAGCAAACAGG